rnacentral:rRNA from 1 species
AGAGAGAGACAUGCGCGCAUAUCAAUAAGCGGAGGAAAAGAAACUAACAAGGAUUCCCCUAGUAACGGCGAGUGAAGCGGGAAGAGCUCAAAUUUGAAAUCUUAAAGGGUUUCCCUUUACGAAUUGUAGUUUAAAGAAGUGUUUUCUGUUGAGGUUUUGGUAAAAGUUCUUUGGAAUAGGACAUCAUAGAGGGUGAGAAUCCCGUAUUUGACCUUUACUUUCAACUUUGUGAUACACUUUCAAAGAGUCGGAUUGUUUGGGAAUGCAGUCCAAAAUGGGUGGUAAAUUUCAUCUAAAGCUAAAUAUUGGCGAGAGACCGAUAGCGAACAAGUACCGUGAGGGAAAGAUGAAAAGAACUUUGAAAAGAGAGUUAAACAGUACGUGAAAUUGUCAAAAGGGAAGCGUUUGACACCAGUGUUGUUUUUCUGAAAAUCAAUUAAAGAACUGUUUAUGCUAAGUUGUUUAGACUUUAUCAGCUAUCUGUUUAGUUUUGAGCUUUUCUUUAAUGCACUUUUCAGUUAACAAGUCAACAUCAAUUUCUUUUGCUGUAAAAAAGCUUGAGGAAGGUGGCUUGAGAUUCGUCUUAAGUGUUUAUAGCCUCUUGCCUAUGCAGUCGGAGAGAUUGAGGUCUGCAGCGUAGAUCCUUCGGGGCUAAAUGCAUUUGUGCUAAGUUAUAACAUUUUAUAGACAACUUGUUGACUAUGAUUUGUCUUGUAGCUUACUCGCUUAUGUUAUUUUACCUACGCUUAGAAUGUUGACGCAUGAGAUAUACGC